ensembl:lncRNA
ACUUUCUUCAAACCAAAUUUGUUCAGUUAUACACAAGAAAUAUGGAUUUAAUUGUUUGAAUCAUUUAUUUUUUAAAGGAGACUGCAUCCUGCCAAGACACUUUACGGACAAUGCCAAGUCAUUUCAGAAAAUACAUUUUCUGCUGCUUUAAAAAUCUUUGAAGGAAUGCAGCCAAAGACAGCAGCGGGGUUUGGGGAAGCGGCCCUGUGUUUGUGGGAAGAAUGGACUUCCAGCCGCGUGAAGGAAUACACCUGCUGCACCGAAGCACAAACACUGCUCCCCGAGACACGCUUCACAGAGACACAGCCGAGCUCUUGUGCUUCAGAUGAAGGUUUUGGUUUGUUUUCUGAUCACAGUGUCAAAACUGGCAUCAUUACAGUAUUAAAGCAUUUCCAGCUGAUGACAAUACCUUCUAAGAACGGCUGCAGAUGUUCACAUGAAUGUUCUAUUAACAUAACUGGAAGAACAUCUGUACAAAACCUUGCCAGAACAUUAGACAAAGUUAUGAGAAUGUUUAGCUGGGCUAAAAACCUGUUAGCAGUUAUUCAUUUUCAUAUCCUAAACAGAGCUGAGAAGAUUACUUACAAAUUAUCAUCCGUUACAGAUGCCAUACAUGACAUGACAAAAACUGUAGUGAU